UACGUAGGGGGCGAGCGUUGUCCGGAGUUACUGGGCGUAAAGCGCACGCAGGCGGUCUGCUAAGUUUGGAGUGACAGUUGGUGGCUUAACUGCCAAAGUGCUUCGAAAACUGACAGACUUUGAGGGCUUCAGAGGGACACGGAAUUCCGGGUGGAGUGGUGAAAUGCGUAGAGAUCCGGAGGAACACCAAAGGCGAAGGCAGUGUCCUGGGGAGUACCUGAC
rnacentral:rRNA from 1 species